UACGGAGGGUGCAAGCGUUAUCCGGAUUCACUGGGUUUAAAGGGUGCGUAGGUGGGCCUGUAAGUCAGUGGUGAAAUCUCCGGGCUUAACCCGGAAACUGCCAUUGAUACUAUAGGUCUUGAAUUAUCUGGAGGUAAGCGGAAUAUGUCAUGUAGCGGUGAAAUGCUUAGAUAUGACAUAGAACACCAAUUGCGAAGGCAGCUUACUACGGAUAUAUUGACACUGAGGCACGAAAGCGUGGGGAUCAAACAGG
rnacentral:rRNA from 1 species